rnacentral:pre_miRNA from 1 species
UGAGAACUGAAUUCCAUGGGUUGUAAUUGAAUUCGCUGUCAGACCCAUGGGGCUCAGUUCUUCA